CAGAAAUGUGGGGUGGGUCUUCCAUGUUACAAGUUCAUAUGUGUGUAUUCUGGAUUGUGGGGGUGCUUCCUCCCCCGCCCGCCCAGCAUUUAUGUGAAAUGAAAUGCAGGAAUUAGCUUCUAGCUGGCAUAUAUGUUGGAUCGAGAAAUGAUACAGGUGUGUUGAUUCUUGUAUUAAAUACAAAUGCCUGCGCGCGCGCACGCACACAACCAGCUGCAAUGCACAUCAAGCCUUCUGUGCGUGGCAUCAGCUUCUGCGGGCAACAGUUUUCAUUGCCGCUAAGUUCUGCGAGAGCUGUGCUGACGGGCAGGUUGGUCGGAGGCUCCUUUCUGCUGGGGAUCGGCUCUGGUCUGGACUGGCUUCGGGCAUUCCCUCACCUGGAAAGAAACAUCAGCACGACGGCCUCCCUUUUCUACGCCGGGAUCCUUUUUGUGGCACCGGAAGAGAUGGGGAGGAAAUUGGCGCCCCGUUCCCCUUGACGUCUGCUGCCUGAACUGCUGCAUGCUGCUUCCUGAGGGUGUGGAAAGAUCUAAAGAGUGAUUUCCAUUCAGCCCAUUGGCAUUGAUCUGCAUCUUAGUCACGGAGGUGGAUUGACAGAGCUGGACGCCCCUUUGAAAAUGGAGCCGGGCCAGGCUGAGACCCGAGGAAAACCAGGGCGUUUCCAACUCUACCCAUAAUGAAUGGAUUCAACUUUAGAAGGCCUGCCUUGGAAUUGAUUCUUGGGAGAUCCUCUUCCCAUCUAUUUAUACUCCAGAGCUAUAUACAAAAAGCAGCCAGUGAAUGUUAGCCCAUGUGCUAUCUCUUCGGAAACUGCAUGAAAUACACGUAGCUGGAGAACAGGUCAGCUCGCGGCUCGCCUUGGCUGUUUUCCUGGGAGAUGCCAAAGAGCCUAUUUCUUGACUAGACCAAGUGACGACAUUUUCAUGUUAAGCAUUUCGACACUUACCGCUUCCUGCCCCAGCUAGCUUCCGUGCGGCCGCCUGAAGUCAAACAGGAGUUUGGCACAUGUGCUUGAAGGUUAUUGUGUAAUGAUGUCUCACCGGCUUUCUGCUCAGCCAAGCGGAGGGUG